CCUGAUGGCCUUUCGGCUCCACGCUGGUCCUCCACUACCAACAACGGAAUUGAGGCAAGAGUGAGAAGAAACUAGAAAGGGAUUAGACCGACUUCUGGGAAUAAGAGAAAAAAGAGGAGGCCGGGUAGAGAGUAGAAAAGAGUAAAGGAUAAUUAACGGAUAAAUUGGCCGGGAGUUCACCGGAAAGGAGGAUUCCAGUGAGCAAGUCGGGUGGGUUUAGGGUUUACGGCGAGAGGGUCCAUCAUAGUUCUGUCAAUGGUAGCAUAAACAAAUUGUUAGAUAAUAACUAGUACCGAAUUAGGAAAUCGUACAUACCACUCUUCUCCCUCACUCAUUCAUCUAUUCUCCAACGACAAAAACUUCAAAGCGGUUCGCUGCAACGUUGCCGGCGAAAAUCAAGAAGGUUACCUAUCGACAAAGCGAUAAAGAAGGUUAGUCCUCAAAACCCUAGAAGUUCUCGGUUAGAGAAAGAGUGUGAGCUUUGAAUCCAAGUCGGUCCAGACACGCCUCCGGCUCCUCAUGGGUACUGCGGAGAUCUUUGGCACCGAAAUAGCUCCUGAAAUCUGGCUGACCUUCCCUCCCAGACACAAAUUGGCUGUAGCCUGUUUUCACUUGGUAUGGAGCGACAAUUGAAAUGGAUGGUAAUACUGAAACUGAUUGUACGGCAGAUGAGACACCCAUGAUCAGUUACGCAAAUGUGCAUGCUGUACUCAAAGGACGAAGAAAUCGCGCCAAAGCAUCGCCUAGUGACUCUGAUUCUUCUCAGGGUCCCGGGGUAAUCGUGGUGGGACCCACAGAUUCUGGGAAGAGUACCUUAUCAAGAAUGCUACUUAGUUGGGCAGCUAAACAAGAUUUGUAUAAGGUGCUCAUGAAGGAGCUAGCUCAAAUUCUGGAAAGACAAUUUGCUGGAAAUACAGAGUCUCGAGCUGCAGGCAUGGUAAUCAAUACCAUGGGAUGGAUAGAUGGUGUUGGUUAUGAGAUGCUUCUCCAUGCAAUUGAGACAUUUAAUGCCACUGUUGUACUGGUGUUGGGUCAAGAAAGAGAAACUUUGCAGCAUGCUGAAAGAUGUAUUGAAAAACAAGCCCAAUGUGGACGUUGUGAAACUUCAAAAGUCAGUCGGUGUUGUAUCCAGAAAUUCAAAAGCCCGUCAGAGGUCCAGGAGCAGCAGGAUAAGGUGAUUUGUCAGUCUAUUGUAUUGGUGGUGGACCACAGGCUCCACGUUCAGCUCUGCCAAUUGGUGCAGAGCCUGCUGCAGAUCCUACAUGGUUGGUUCCUGUUAGUAUCAACAGAGACUUGAUCCAUUUAGUUCUUGCCGUUUCAUUUGCCAAAAAACCAGAUCAAAUUAUUUCAAGGAAAAUAAUUACAUAUCUCGCACCAUCAGUCGUUCCCGGGGAAAAUUUUUGAUUGUGGAGGUUUAACAUGGCUGGAAAGGCUGAAGUUAACAUGGUUUUAGUUUGGUGACGACUCCUGUUCUGUUCUCGUAAACGGAACUGUAGUAACAAGUGCAAAAGAGGAAUUAACCGUCCCGCGUUGUGUAUUAGUGAGUGUAGCUGUUUUCUAACGCAGUUAACUUUUUUUUUUUGUUUUUUGUUUUGCAUCAUAUCCAAUUUUGUUGGGUUGGUAUAUCAAGAUCCAUUUUACAUGUGUAUUUUCUAUUAAACUCAUAGCUAAACUUACUGAAAUUCCUAACGAUGGGAUUGAUUGUUCUUUAUUGUGUAGAUUUUUUUUUAUACUUGACGAAACAGCUGAAAUACUCUACUAUGUACCAUUUUCCCUAUUUAUUCUUGAAGGAUAUUUUGAUCUUUUCACGAA